AGAGUUUGAUCAUGGCUCAGAGCGAACGCUGGCGGCAUGCCUAACACAUGCAAGUCGAACGAACCUUAUCAGCUUAUCGGUAAGGCUAGUGGCAGACGGGUGAGUAAUACGUGGGCAAUCUGCCCUCGAGAAGGGGAUAACCUUGGGAAACCAGGGCUAAUACCGCAUGAGACCACAGCCGGACAUCCGGCAGGGGUUAAAGCUCCGCAAGGGGCGCUCGGGGAGGAGUCCACGGCCUAUCAGCUUGUUGGCGGGGUAACGGCCCACCAAGGCUACGACGGGUAAGCGGUCUGAAAGGACGACCGCUCACAAUGGCACUGAGACACGGGCCAUACUCCUACGGGAGGCAGCAGUGGGGAAUUUUGCGCAAUGGGGGAAACCCUGACGCAGCGAUGCCGCGUGGAGGACGAAGGUCUUCGGAUUGUAAACUCCUUUUGCGGGGGAAGAAUGACGGCGUGAAUAACGUCGUUCGACGGUACUCCGCGAAUAAGCCACGGCUAACUUCGUGCCAGCAGCCGCGGUAAGACGAAGGUGGCGAGCGUUACUCGGAAUUACUAGGCGUAAAGCGCGAGCAGGCGGUUCGGUAAGUCUGUUGUGAAAGCCCUGGGCUCAACCCGGGGAGGCCAAUGGAUACUACCGGACUUGAAUACGGGAGAGGUCGCUGGAAUUCCUGGUGUAGCGGUGAAAUGCGUAGAUAUCAGGAGGAACACCAAAGGCGAAGGCAGGUGACUGGACCGUUAUUGACGCUGAGUCGCGAAAGCCGGGGGAGCAAACAGGAUUAGAUACCCUAGUAGUCC
rnacentral:rRNA from 1 species